GACGAACGCUGGCGGCGUGGAUUAGGCAUGCAAGUCGAACGGUAUAAACCUUUCGGGGUUUAGAGAGUGGCGAACGGGUGAGUAACACGUAGGUAAUCUACCCUCAAAACGGGGACAACCCAGGGAAACUUGGGCUAAUACCGGAUGCGUGCAAACAAUGUUUUGGUUGUUGUAAUUAUUCACGGAAGUGGAUAGUUAUGAGAGUUUCAGAGCAUAAUUUGCAUAAAAGGUGGCGUAAGCUGCCGUUUGAGGAUGAGCCUGCGUCCUAUUAGUUAGUUGGUGAGGUAAUGGCUUACCAAGGCGAUGAUCAGUAGCCGACCUGAGAGGGUGAUCGGCCACAAUGGGACUGAGACACGGCCCAUACUCCUACGGGAGGCAGCAGUAGGGAAUCUUGCGCAAUGGACGGAAGUCUGACGCAGCAACGCCACGUGUGGGACGACGCCUUUUCGGGGUGUAAACCACUGUUAGCAGGGACUAGCCUACGACGUAGGUCGUACCGAAUGUACCUGCAGAGAAAGCACC
rnacentral:rRNA from 1 species